rnacentral:rRNA from 1 species
CCUACGGGAGGCAGCAGUGAGGAAUAUUGGUCAAUGGGCGGGAGCCUGAACCAGCCAAGUCGCGUGAGGGAAGACGGUCCUAUGGAUUGUAAACCUCUUUAGGCGGGGAGCAAUGCCGGGCACGUGUGCCCGGAGGGAUAGUACCCGCAGAAUAAGCAUCGGCUAACUCCGUGCCAGCAGGCGCGGGUAUACGGAGGAGGCGAGCGUUAUCCGGAUUUACUGGGUGUAAAGGGCGUGCAGCCGGGAAGACAAGUCAGAUGUGAAAUCCCGCGGCUCAACCGCGGAACUGCCUUUGAAACUGUUUGUCUUGAGUUGCGGAGAGGUGAUCGGAAUUCCUGGUGUAGCGGUGAAAUGCGUAGAUAUCAGGAAGAACACCAGUGGCGAAGGCGGAUGACUGGACGGCAACUGACGGUGAGGCGCGAAAGCGUGGGGAGCAAACAGGAUUAGAUACCCUGGUAGUC